rnacentral:lncRNA from 1 species
UCUGAAUGUAGUGGAAAUGUUGAGUCAUGGCCUGAGGCAGUGAUUGAGCACCUGGUGGGAAGGCAGGGCCAACCCAGAGGAGCUCAGGUGUGUGCAAUGUAGCUGAGUGAACAGAAGGGCUGGAGCCAGGAUCCAGCCCCUCCCAUACCUCAUUUAAGGGUUGGCAGUGGAGGUGAGGGCAUUUCUUGUUGGAGAUCCCUGCCUACCUGAGGCCUUCCAAAGAGCUGGCAGUGCCUGCAGACAGAAGCCCUGCUCUGUUCCUUUCCUGGCAGCAUCCUCGUGCCUCUGGGAAUAGGAAGGGAGUGAACUGGAACAGUUCUGUACGGAGCCAGUAUCCUUCCACGAUGUGGGAAGACAAUCUGCAGUUUUGUCUCAGGUAGGAUUAAGCUUCCCAUCUGUUUGCUCACGCAGGGUCCUGCUGCACACUGCCCAGAAUUAG